rnacentral:lncRNA from 1 species
CUAUUGAUGCCAGACAAUGCCAUCCUCCGCUACACGUUCAGCUGGAGCCUUAGUCCCUGGGAGCUCUGGGGGUGCAGGGAAUGGGGGGGAUGGUGAUAUUGUUGUUCUUCCAAUGAGGUUGCAAACCCCUUCAGCUCCUUCAGUCCUUUCUCUAAUUCCUCCAUUGGGGUCCCCAUGCUCAGUCCAAUGGUUAGCUGAAGUCUUAGCCAAGCUUUUAGCACUAUAGAUCUCAAUAGUCAGUCCUCCUGGAUCGAAGGGAAAUGGAGCGUGUUCCAUAAUCAAGCCUGGGAUGCAAGUCAGCUGGAUGGGGCAGUGUGUGCUGUGGUUGCUUUCCUUAGAGAAAGCAAUUGUUCAGUUUGAUAAUCUAAACAUGGCUCAGAAAAUUAAAGCUAUCCAAACAUCCUGAGAACCACAGGGUAGGGCUUUCAGGAAACAAAUAAAUAAAACAAAGCAAA